GACGAACGCUGGCGGCGUGCCUAAUACAUGCAAGUCGAACGAGAGCGACCGGUGCUUGCACUGGUCAAUCUAGUGGCGAACGGGUGAGUAACACGUGGGUAACCUGCCCAUCAGAGGGGGAUAACAUCCGGAAACGGAUGCUAAAACCGCAUAGGUCUUCGAGCCGCAUGGCUUGAAGAGGAAAAGAGGCGCAAGCUUCUGCUGAUGGAUGGACCCGCGGUGCAUUAGCUAGUUGGUGAGGUAACGGCUCACCAAGGCCGUGAUGCAUAGCCGACCUGAGAGGGUGAUCGGCCACAUUGGGACUGAGACGCGGCCCAAACUCCUACGGGAGGCAGCAGUAGGGAAUCUUCCGCAAUGGACGCAAGUCUGACGGAGCAACGCCGCGUGAGUGAAGAAGGUUUUCGGGUCGUAAAACUCUGUUGUUAGAGAAGAACAAGUGCUAGAGUAACUGUUAGCGCCUUGACGGUAUCUAACCAGAAAGCCACGGCUAACUACGUG
rnacentral:rRNA from 1 species